CAGGCCCCGAGGAGGGCGAGGCCCCGAGGAGCAGCAGUGUCCAGACCGGGAGGGGCAACGCCAGCGGGUGGCCAAGCCCCUGACAUGCGGGCCUCGCCGUCUCUGUGGGGACGCCGGGCACAGGGCCCACGACCAGCCCAUGUGGGCCAGGCCUUGGGUGGCCACCAGCCAGACCCUCUCCCAGCUUCUGGGCAGAGCGAGNNNNNNNNNNNNNNNNNNNNNNNNNNNNNNNNNNNNNNNNNNNNNNNNNNNCUGCUCCCCAGCCAGCCCCGCUGGCCUGCUGGCCGCAGGCUGGUGGAGCUGUGUUCCUGGGAACACCUAGAAACCGCGCUGCUUGGAAACACUGUGGCGUUGCCAUGCACGGCGUCUCCUCCAGGCCAGCCAGGGAGGCCUGGUGCCCCGGGCUGCGGAAUGUGGGCCCCCUCCCAGGCCCCCCGAGUUGCUGAAGGAACUGACUCAGAGCCCAGCAAAUUCCUGCCGCCGAGGCCCUUUCUCCUCCUGCCCCGGGAACGCGCGGUGUCCGCAGGGCGCAGCAAGGAGAGGGCCUGCUUUCCAGACCGGGGCGCUGGAAUGUUCUCUCUGACGGUGCGAGCCGACUCCUGCGCCCCAUUUCAGCGGCGGCCGCAUUCCUGGUGUGAGCCCGGGCCAGCCCAGCGAGCUUUUUCCACGCUCCGGUGCCAGCCCCCUGGGCUCGGGGGCGGGGAGAGGACGGUUUCUAUGGGGAGUAUGUCGUCAUGAUCCGCGAUGUGACCAACCCUCCCUUCCUGGGACACACGCUGCCCACCGCCUUCAAACACCUUCGGGUCUUGGGGAAGGGGACGGACAAGCAGCCCCGCGUCCCUGGAGAAGGCCCCAAAUCCCCGAGAUAGGAGAGCCACCCCCAUGCACCUGACAGCCACCAGUGUCCCCCUCAGGACACCAUCCUCAUCUGAAUGGGAGGAAAAGCCGCCUGUGCUCUGCGGGGCUCCUUCCUGCACUUCCCAGGGGCGCUGAGCAGGGGCCGGAGGGCCGCCUGCACGUAUCCCACGGCUCAAUAAACAGCUCAGCAGCGACUCCGAC
rnacentral:lncRNA from 1 species